UCGGCGUUACGUCAUUUUAGAAAACAUCGAUUAAAGUUACGUCACAAAAAAAAAUGGUGGACGUUACCACGUGUUCGCGGCAAUUAAUGCAUUUCUUGUUUUCAAUAAUACUCUACCUUGCCACAAGAAAAAAAUGAAGUGACAUUUAUAAACAUUUCCAUGUUUUGCAAUUCCGUUUUUGUUAAAAUUUUUAAAUGAUUGAUAAUUUAUCGCCCUUUGAAUCGACACGCCAUUUGUAAACAUGGAAGGUCGCGGAGAAAAUGAAACUACCAAAAACAAUUAUUUGAUGAUUUAUUUCGAUUGUAUAAAGAAUGACAGUAAGCGAAUCUCAAGAUCAACCACUGAGGAUUGUUUGGCUUGAUGCAAUGACCUUAAACAGUGAAAUGAUUUUCCAGGAAGGUCUAUACACAACAAGCUGGAUUUUAUUGGGUGAUGAAAGACCUAUCAAUAUGUAAAUGGGAAUGAAACAGAAGGAAUUAAUAUGUUCUACUGAUCAUCCAGCUGAAAUCAUGCCUGUGGAAUAGAGUGCAUGUCACAAAUACUUAUAUGAGCAAAUAACUCCAUAUUGCAGAAAUAAGGUCAUGUUUCCUGCCCUCAUGACCUGAAAAAGUUAAAAAUUCUAGUUCAAAUAACAAAUGUGUUUCAAGAAAAAGUAAAACUUAGUCAACUGUGAGAAAUAUUGGGUAAAAGUAGUGUUUUGAUGUCAUGACAGCUGUAAAGUUAUUUGAGAAGCACUAUCCUAAUUGUUCUAACAAUACAGAAUUUAAAUUUUCCAAAACUGCAUGCAUGAAAAUACUAAGACAUGUCUGUUGAAUGGAUCUUAGUUGUUUCAAAACUACAACAUGUGUGACAUUAAAGCACAACCUUUGGAGGAAACAUUUUUACAAUAAAAACUACCUUGCUAGUGUGAGUGUAGGGAGAAUUUUUCCAGAAAUUGCAGAAAACUACCAAUAUAGCAGAAAAUAUUUGUUACUGGCUGAAUAUAAUAUAUUUUAUUUCAAGAAUUAAUCAUGUUAAUCCAUGGUUAUAAUUGUGUUAAAAUAUAUUUUUACAUGACAUGACCUUUGCAGAAAUAGCUAUUUUUUUGUAAAACAUUGUGAGUUGCCAUGGUAACACAAAUUUGACUUAAAUUUAGAUUUGUUUGAUUAUGUAAACAGCAUGUGUCUUGUUUAUAUUCUGCUAAUCAGACUAUGUUCUGCAAGAAAAUAUCUUUUAUGUGUAAACAUCAACAAAACAUGUUAUAACACAAAUCUGCCAUAAAAUGGCAGAGCUGUAAUGCAGGUAGGCAUAUCAGAAAAAUAUGUAGUUCUCAAAGACAAGUUAUAUUACAUAAAAUGAUGUUUGUUUUUUUAUAAAUGAUCAUAAUUGACCAUUUGUGGUGUAAAACAAAUGUAUACUGAACAGAUGCUAAAUGAAUGUUCUGAUUCUUUCUGGAAAAUUUACAAAAAACUACUAUUUUAAGAAGAUAGUGCAUUGUUGCCAUGGUAACAUUAAUUUAACUUUUAAAUUAUUUUGGAUAUCAUCAUAUGUAAAAAACAUCUUUCUUGUUUAUAUGUUAUAUAUGUUAAGCUGUAUUAUGUUAGUGACAUAUUUUCAUAUGUAAUAAUUGCAUCAACAAAGCACUAUGUUAUUACAUAAGCCUGCCUUAAAAUGGCAAUAGUUGUAACUGAGAGAGGUGUAUCUGAAAAUUAUGUAUUUCUCAAACCAUAUUACAUUAAUUUUCAUGGAGUGAUGUCUACUCUCUUACUUUUAAAUAAGAAAAUAUACAGUUUUUGAUGUAAAUAUAUGGAAAAACACUUCCAAUAUUCAAUUUAUUACAAAGAAAUUGCCAAAAAUGUUAGUAUUUUUGUAAGAAAAUAUCACAUUGUUGCCAUGGUAAUGUUAGUAUUUUUGUAAGAAAAUACCACAUCGUUGCCAUGGUAAUGAUUCACUGAUCAGUAUAUCUAAGUCUUUUGAAAUUUUAGCAAACUCACAGUUGAUAACAACAGUCUAAUAAUUAUAUCUUCUUGCCUGAUUUUCUUUCUUACUGUUUAGUUUAAUAGAUAAGGUGUCUAUAAUAACAAGAUCAAUGUCCUAGUUUUUGGGAUGUUGUCUAAUUUGAUAUCAAAUAAAUUCUGUAUCUUGUUCAAAAGAAUGUUAUAAAACAGUUGUCUGUAAACUGUUUGCACACUAGAAAAAGUGAAUUGUGUAUUUAUUUCACAUUCUAUGUAAUUUACUGCUAGAUUCAUCAAGAGACUGUUAAAAAAGAGGUUAAACAACAGUGUUGCUAUAGAAACGAUUUUUAGAACAUAAAUAUUUUUAUACUACAUGAAAGAAAGAGACAAAAAGAAAUACAUUCCAU